UUCUCUUUCAAAAAAUAAAUAAAAGUAAACUUAGAAAGUUAAAAAAAAGAAAUAAGCACCUAAAUAGUUUUUUAUACACUUGAAAGUUUGGGAUUCACUACUUUCUUCUGGAUGAAAUCAGAACCUGUUCAUGAAGAACUCCAGAAGUGGACAGGCAUAUUCUCUGUUUUCCCUGGAAUUCGGAUUUCCUUCAUUGAAGAGCUAGUGGAUAAGAAAUAGGUUUUCUGGGAUUUUCCUGUAAGAGCAUUAAAGCCGACUUCCCUUUGAUUGUCGGUGGAGCUGGGCUCUCACUGGGCUCUCACUUGGAGUGAUUGCUGCUUGAUAUCCUGGUUGUAUUUCCUUCCCCUACUCAAGUCUUGGAUAGUUGAGAGAAGUAAUAUGCAUCUUAAGCUGUUGGAGGGAGGAGUCCUUCAGCUGAUGGUGCCUCACUUUCACCUUAUUUUAUUGCAGCUAAUUUCUUUCAUCUGCCUUGGUUUGACCAAACUUCAGCCAUAAGUUUAUCCACAGGAAUAACUCUGCAAGGUAUUAUUGAAUUCACAUAGAAUUCUGGAGAAAUACUGCCUCCUGGAUGUCUUAGUCAUUUACAUAAGGAGAUGACUCAUCAGGUUCAGCUCCAAUUCACCUGUGGGACCUUUCCUAAUUUGUGUAGUCCUGAUUACUAGCCAGCUGUAUAAGGCUGCGGAUGUCCUGUUAUUGAAAUUCUAGCUAUCAGGAGGCAGCAGGGAUAAGGAAGAUGUCAGCCAUGGAAACUCCCACACUAAAUAAGGUA